AACGAACGUUGGCGGCGUGUUUAACACAUGCAAGUCGAGCGCGAAAUUCACUUCGGUGAAGAGUAGAGCGGCGCACGGGUGAGUAACGCGUGAAUAAUCUGCCCCGAAGCCUGGGAUAACCAAUCGAAAGGCUGGCUAAUACCGGAUAAGCCCCCACUGGCGCAGGCCAGAGAGGGAAAAGUGUUAGCGCUUCGGGAUGAGUUCGCGUCCCAUUAGAUAGUUGGUGAGGUAACGGCUCACCAAGUCGAAGAUGGGUAGCUGGUCUGAGAGGAUGAUCAGCCACACUGGAACUGAGACACGGUCCAGACUCCUACGGGAGGCAGCAGUGGGGAAUAUUGCGCAAUGGGCGAAAGCCUGACGCAGCAACGCCGCGUGAGUGACGAAGGCCCUCGGGUCGUAAAGCUCUGUCAGGAGGGACGAAGCAAGUGACGGUACCUCCAAAGGAAGCACUGGCUAACUCCGUGCCAGCAGCCGCGGUAAUACGGAGAGUGCAAACGUUGUUCGGAAUCAUUGGGCGUAAAGCGCGCGUAGGCGGCGUAUCAGGUCGGGUGUGAAAGCCCAGGGCUCAACCCUGGAACUGCGCUCGAAACCGGUACGCUUGAGUCCCUAAGGGAGAAGCAGAACUCUUGGUGUAGGGGUGAAAUCCGUAGAUAUCAGGAGGAAUACCAGAGGCGAAGGCGGCUUCUUGGUAGGGUACUGACGCUGAGGUGCGAAAGCGUGGGUAGCAAACAGGAUUAGAUACCCUGGUAGUCCACGCCGUAAACGAUGCUCACUAGGUGAUGGAGGUAUUGACCCCUUCAUUGCCGCAGUUAACGCGUUAAGUGAGCCGCCUGGGGAGUACGGUCGCAAGAUUAAAACUCAAAGGAAUUGACGG
rnacentral:rRNA from 1 species